CGCACCAUUCUUGUGAAAAAAAGUCUCUCUACUCUCGUUAGGUAUCUAGAUAUUCCAAAGGAUAUUCCCUUUCCUCUUUCUUGUUUGUGCUUGACAACAUCAAAAUCCAAUUGAAGCAGACCAUAGCUUCGCCAAUUCGGUUCACGGUUGUAAGCUCGAGUUCAACUCCGAAGCCAGAAUCUAUAGACUUAUUUGACGUGCCCAAGUUCGCUGCACCACAAAAGGUCAGUAACUUCUCACUUUUUUUUUCUCUUUUUCUUCUUAGAUUAGAAGUAAAUGUACAUUCGUUCUUAAGAUGGAGUUAUAGUUUGUUUUAUGCGUAAAAAGUAUGCUCUAAGGUAUUAUUUGAGUAUAAAAAUGACUAAUUAUGUAUUUUUGCUGUAUGUGAACAAAAUAAGAGAAGAUUUAAAAUACCAAAAAUAGUCCCAUGUUUGUUUCUUAAUAUAAUAAACUUAGAAUGUUUCCCAGCAUACCCAAAGCUAGUUUUGCUUACAAAUAUGUUUGAUGUAUUCAAACGUAUUUGCUUUUAAUUUUUUUUAGAAAACUUAGAGGUGAACAUUUCCUUGUUUAAUUGACUGGUUCUGUUAGUUAGCAAAAAACAUUUAAAAGGCUAAUCAUCUAAUAAACUUAAGUCUAAGAAUUACUUUAAUACAAUGAUAGUAUAAGAAGUAAAUUCUCUUGAUUUGCUGGACUGCAAUACAAAGUGAAUUUAUACGUUUUGUUGUUGAGUACCAUGAUUCGAUACUCCUUUUGUAUUUUAAUGAGUAUAUCUAAACUUGGCUAAUCGUUGUAUAUAAAACUGCAAUUUGUCUAAGAGUAAAAAGCAUGUCUUUAAGAAGCUAUGAUGAACUUCUAAAAAAAACUUACUGUUUGAAUGAUGAUUUGUUAACGAAUUUUUAUGUAUUAGUUUUGGAUGGUAUUUUUUCACUUAAGAGAACCCGGUUUGAAGCAACUUAAUAUAAUGAUUGUUGGCUAUCCGGAUGAUUUGCAAAGAAAAUAAUCCAUGAAAUGCAGUAGCUCUUUUUUAGUUCACACUCCAAACAAUAGUUCUGUUAAGAAGUACCUACCGUGAUCAUCUUAAUUGGAUUUAUAACUAAAAUGGAAAGAAGUUGGGGGAGACCUAGCAAACAUAUGAUAUUGGAAACCUAUCUAAGUAAGUUCUUGGGUGCUUUAGAAAAUUUGCUUCCUGCAAUAUCAUGUGAAGUUGUGUUAGUUUACUAUUAGUUCAAAAAGCUAAUACUACCAUUUCCUUUCGAUGUUAAUAGGUAUUAUGCCAUUUAGAAUACUUUGAUAUCUAGUUUUAAUACUUUAAGACAAAUUAAGAAUGCAUGUUUUGUGUUAAUGUGUGUUAAGGAUCCUAAAAGUCUGAUGCCAUUUUGUCAGUUUACUAAAAAGCACGCGGCUAGGAUUUUAAUAUCUAAUUUUAAGACUUAAGAUGGAAGUAGAAGCCAUGUUGUUCUAAGUUCUGAUAAUCAUGUCGGCUAGAUUAAUCAGUUUCAUCUUUAGAUCUCAAAUGAACAAAAAAAGUUUUGUUAACUCAAUAUUUAGGUUAUGGCAAUAUGCCUAAACUUAGAGAUUAAUGAAUUUGCUGGUAUAAGAUUACUCAAGUUUUUAAAAAGAAAUAUUUCUUUUAUUAACCUGCUGUAUGUUUAGAACCCAAUUUAAAGUUUACUGUUCUUUCUCAGUUUAUUGUCAACACCUUUAUUUCUAAUUCUCGUCUUUUCUUUUUCUUUGUUUGGCAUAUGCACUUGGAGCAAUGAGUCUUAAUGCAAGACUCAACCCAUACCAGCAUGGAGUCACUACUAUUGAGCCUUAGAUUAUGAUGGACAUCUAGAAGAAGGACAAGCAAAAAGCUUGGGGUCGCCUAUGGAGGCCUUUGUUAUUUACAUUUACUCUGUUUCGAAUCUUUAAUUAAUUUGAUUAUAUUCUUUUGAUUAGUUUAGUUCUAUAUUUAACUUGGGAUUGUUGAUUUA